rnacentral:rRNA from 1 species
UACAGAGGUCUCAAGCGUUGUUCGGAUUCAUUGGGCGUAAAGGGUGCGUAGGUGGCGCUGUAAGUCGGGUGUGAAAUUUCGGAGCUUAAACUCCGAAACUGCAUUCGAUACUGCGGUGCUUGAGGACUUGGAGAGGAGACUGGAAUUCAUGGUGUAGCAGUGAAAUGCGUAGAGAUCAUGAGGAAGACCAGUGGCGAAAGGCGGGGUCUCUGGACAG